AACAGCAGGAUAAGGCUGUUGUUGAUCAAGUUGACCCGGCUGCCUGUGAAAGGACUGCGGCUGCUGCGAAGGGUAAACCUGGAUGUAAGUCUGCAUAGGAAGGCCACCAGAGGGAUGGUGAUGAAUGUACUGAGGUGGUGCAGCAGCGUGUAUGAACUGCUGCUGCUGAGAUGGUGCAGAUUGUUGCUCGAACUGGGGGUGGAGGAUGUAUCCAGGGUCCUGAUUCUGCAUAUGGUUCUGGGGUAAGAGUGUGUUUGGAUCUGAAGGGUUGAUCAUACCAGUAACUACAGUGGAACCAGAAGGCAUCUGAGACAUGGGAU
rnacentral:lncRNA from 1 species